UCUUUUAUUGUGAAUCAGACUAAAAUACAUUUUAGUUUGAGCGGUUAAAAUCAAAUAUGAUUUUGCCAUGAGAAUAAUGCCGAAACUGGCAUAAUAGUCAAACAUUGUCGUCUGGCUAAUACUAGAUCCACAAAUUUUUGUACAUUUCGUUGGUACAUUUACUCAUCUAGACUCUAAUUUGGAAUAUUAUUAUUAAUUGAAAGAUGAAUGAACUUUUUUAUGAAGAUUACUGCCAGUGGAGAACAUUUGUGAGAAGUGUAUGACGUGCCCAUGAGAUGCCACAUUGCUAUGAUGAACUGUUACUGUUUACUAAUGAAGAUGAUUCUGGAAUUUUGGAAGUAUUAGUGUAAUGUUAUGAACAUUGACAUGAACAUGAGGAACUGUCAAGCCAAGAUGAAGAUGUCAAGAUUUUAUGUUUGUUGUCUUCCCCUUAAAUUGAAAAUGCCCUUGUAAGACUUGACAGUAGUGGAAAAAUAUUGACAUAUUUUUUUUUCAAGGGGGGGAGGAAUCUGUUAGACACCUUAUUUAUAGUUUAGUUAUUUAGCGACGCACCAUAGAAGACGCAUAUUGAACGGGACUAGUGACGUUUGGGAUAUGUUGGGUUAGAGACCGGAAAAUCAGUUAGCGAUAUAAUCCUCUAGGGUAACGACGUGUUUAGUGACAGAGACUUUUACUGUGGCCUUUUCUUAGAAUAAAUACAUGUUACACUGUU